CACCUACGGGAGGCUGCAGUGAGGAAUAUUGGGCAAUGCCCGCAAGGGUGACCCAGCAACGCCGCGUGGAGGAUGAAGGUCGUAAGAUUGUAAACUCCUGUUAGAGGGGACGAAUAAUCUCGAUAGAAUCGAGACUUGACUGUACCCUCAGAGAAAGCCCCGGCUAACUACGUGCCAGCAGCCGCGGUAAUACGUAGGGGGCAAGCGUUGUCCGGAUUCACUGGGUGUAAAGGGCGCGCAGGCGGGUUAGCAAGUCAGAGGUGAAAUCCUACAGCUUAACUGUAGAACUGCCUUUGAAACUGUUAAUCUUGAGUGCGGAAGAGAGAGACGGAAUUCCAGGUGUAGCGGUGAAAUGCGUAGAUAUCUGGAAGAACACCAGUUGCGAAGGCGGUCUCUUGGUCCGUAACUGACGCUCAGGCGCGAAAGCGUGGGGAGCAAACAGGAUUAGAUACCCCAGUAGUCAA
rnacentral:rRNA from 1 species